rfam:Toxocara canis scaffold2743, whole genome shotgun sequence.
GCAGCGAUGUCCGAGUGGUUAGGGAGUUUGACUUGAAAUCAAAUGGGCUCUGCCCGCGUAGGUUUGAAUCCUGCUUGCUGCG